rnacentral:pre_miRNA from 1 species
GUGUCGAUUGCGGCUCAUCGUAAGGCAGUUUGCUUGGUUAACGCCAGCUGCCUAGCGAAGGGCAACAAACGACAG